CCCAAGGCUGGCGCCCUUGGCUAAGUUAUGCCGUACCUUCGGCACU
rnacentral:sRNA from 1 species